GACGAACGCUGGCGGCGUGCCUAAUACAUGCAAGUCGAACGCUUCUUUCCUCCCGAGUGCUUGCACUCAAUUGGAAAGAGGAGUGGCGGACGGGGGAGUAACACGUGGGUAACCUACCCAUCAGAGGGGGAUAACACUUGGAAACAGGUGCUAAUACCGCAUAACAGUUUAUGCCGCAUGGCAUACGAGUGAAAGGCGCUUUCGGUUGUCGCUGAUGGAUGGACCCGCGGUGCAUUAGCUAGUUGGUGAGGUAACGGCUCACCAAGGCCACGAUGCGUAGCCGACCUGAGAGGGUGAUCAGCCACACUGGAACUGAGACACGGCCCAGACUCCUACGGGAGGCAGCAGUAGGGAAUCUUCGGCAAUGGACGAAAGUCUGACCGAGCAACGCCGCGUGAGUGAAGAAGGUGUUCGGAUCGUAAAACUCUGUUGUUAGGGAAGAACAAGAACGUGAGUAACUGAACGUCCCCUGACGGUAUCUAAACAGAAAGCAACGGCUAACUACGUG
rnacentral:rRNA from 1 species